rnacentral:rRNA from 1 species
AUUGAACGCUGGCGGCAGGCCUAACACAUGCACGUCGAACGAGUGGCGGACGGGUGAGUAAUGUCUGGGAAACUGCCCGAUGGCGGGGGAUAACUACUGGAAACGGUAGCUAAUACCGCAUACCAUCGGAUGUGCCCAGAUGGGAUUUGCUAGUAGGUGGGGUAACGGCUCACCUAGGCGACGAUCCCUAGCUGGUCUGAGAGGAUGACAAGCGACACUGGAACUGAGACACGGGCCAGACUCCGACGGUAGGCAGCAGUGGGGAAGAUUGCACAAUGGGCGCAAGCCUGAUGCAGCCAUGCCGCGUGUAUGAAGAAGGCCUUCGGGUUGUAAAGUACUUUCAGCGGGGAGGCGUUACCCGCAGAAGAAGCACCGGCUAACUCCGUGCCAGCAGCCGCGGUAAUAC